CUGCCCAAUGUUAGCAAUAAUGAAUGGCCCCGGUACCCUGACCGUGCUAAGGUAGCGUAAUCAGUUGGCUUUUAAAUGGAGUCAGGAAUGAAUGGGAAAACCGGGUUUAGCUGUCUCCUUACUAUUUUUUUGAAUUUACUGUUUAAGUGAAAAAGCUUAAAAUUGAUAAAGGGACGAGAAGACCCUUAGAAUUUUUUUUAAAAUGACAAAUUCUCAUAAUAAUUUUGUUGGGGCGACAGAGAAAUAUUUAAAACUUUCUUUAAAUUUACAUGCCGAUAUUGUUAAGCAAGAAUAAAUUACCUGAGGGAUAACAGCAUUAUUCUACAGUUGAGUUUGUGACCUCGAUGUUGGACUAGGAAACUAACAGGCUAGCCGUUUGUUGUGUGGGUUCUGUUCGAACUCUAAUUCCU
rnacentral:rRNA from 1 species